rnacentral:rRNA from 1 species
UACGUAGGGUGCAAGCGUUGUUCGGAAUUACUGGGCGUAAAGCGUGUGUAGGCGGCUACGCAAGUCGGAUGUGAAAGCCCCGGGCUCAACCUGGGAAUUGCAUUCGAGACUGCAAGGCUAGGGUGCGGAAGAGGGAAGCGGAAUUUCCGGUGUAGCGGUGAAAUGCGUAGAUAUCGGAAGGAACAUCAGUGGCGAAAGCGGCUUCCUGGUCCAGCACCGACGUUCAGGCACGAAAGCGUGGGGAGCAAACAGG